GGGACCAUUUACAUGAACGAACCUAAAUUAGAGCACCAAAGGUUUGAGGACCCAAUAUCCUGAAAUUAGACAUUGUAAUAGGGAUUCAGAUCAAGGUUUCACAGACCUUGGAUGUUAACAAUUUUCUGUUUUAUUUAUUUAUUUUUAAAAGAAAAUUACAAAGAUAAUAAUAGAUAGAGAAAUUCCACCUAAACAUGGGAUAAAGAAGAUAUAAACACGCUUUUUCCAAUAGCAUGUAGUGCAGGAAUUUCUCCAUGGUUCUCAAAGCAAAUAUUGAUGGAUUGUGCAGGACUUGGAACCAUGAUAAGGCAAGCAAACAGUCAAUUGAAGCACGCCAAGUUAAAAGAGUGGAGGAGCGAUAGAAUAGAACUUGCACCGAAGGCUCUAGAGAAAUGCUCCCACAUGCUUUAGGUGCUUUCAAUUGAUAUAGAAAUGCAAGACUAGAGAUAGGGGAAGAACUAGUGGUGGAGAGAGAUACUCUCAUGUGACGUUGUCACAAGUAAUGCUUCUUCAAAGCUCUAUAUCAAAUAAGCCUAAACCUAAAGAUCAAGAGGACCAUUCCUUGUGAAAACAUCCCUUUUUGUUAUCUUAUGAGAAUCUAAUCUUGAAAGAAAAUGGUGAACAGAGAGAGAGUCAUGAAUAGCAUGAUUUCUGGACAAGACCCACAGAGAUAGAAAAGAAGUGGAAUAUUUGUCAAGGGUUUUUUAUAUUAUAUGCUGGGGAAUGGGCAGUUCUUCUAUAUGGUCGAUGGUGAUGAUGAUUGUGAUGAGGAGGCCGCUCGAAGAAAAAAAGGUCCUUAAACUUUACCAUCCAAAUGAUUACAAUCUGAAAAAACCUGCGAGAGAAAGAAAAUGAAACUCACACAAGGUUCUUAUUGCUGUCUUUGCUUGUGAACCGCACUUGUUCUUUGAUGUAUGAAGUUAAUUCUUCCUAUCUCACGGGAUUAAAGAUGUUUUCUAUCACCUUCCUUCCACAUGAUUCAUCAGUUUAUAUAUAUAUAUAUAUCAACCAUCCAUUUCGUCAAUUUCCUUGUGAGAAAUGAGAAUAAAUGAUCGCCUCGUGGUUACUGCGAACUCAUCACCCAUGGUUGUUCCUGGAGUUUCCAACCAAAUUGAAGAAUUAUAUUAAAAUUGAAAAAUAACUACCGAACCAUAUUAAACUGAAUUUAUAUUUAUUAUUUCUAAUCAAAAUUAUAUCAAAAUAGAAAUCAAAUCCGAAGCAUAUCAAAUUGAGACAAAGAAUUGAUUUUACACAAAUAUUUUUUUAGAUAUAUUUUAAAAUUUAAAUAAAAUUAUAUAUAUA
rnacentral:misc_RNA from 1 species